AUUGAACGCUGGCGGCAUGUACACAUGCAAGUCGAACGGCAGCGCGGGGCAACCUGGCGGCGAGUGGCGAACGGGUGAGUAAUAUAUCGGAACGUACCCUGGAGUGGGGGAUAACGUAGCGAAAGUUACGCUAAUACCGCAUACGAUCUAAGGAUGAAAGUGGGGGAUCGCAAGACCUCAUGCUCCUGGAGCGGCCGAUAUCUGAUUAGCUAGUUGGUGGGGUAAGGGCCUACCAAGGCAUCGAUCAGUAGCUGGUCUGAGAGGACGACCAGCCACACUGGAACUGAGACACGGUCCAGACUCCUACGGGAGGCAGCAGUGGGGAAUUUUGGACAAUGGGCGAAAGCCUGAUCCAGCAAUGCCGCGUGAGUGAAGGAGGCCUUCGGGUUGUAAAGCUCUUUUGUCAGGGAAGAAACGGUGAAGGCUAAUAUCCUUUGCUAAUGACGGUACCUGAAGAAUAAGCACCGGCUAACUACGUGCCAGCAGCCGCGGUAAUACGUAGGGUGCAAGCGUUAAUCGGAAUUACUGGGCGUAAAGCGUGCGCAGGCGGUUUUGUAAGUCUGUCGUGAAAUCCCCGGGCUCAACCUGGGAAUUGCGAUGGAGACUGCAAGGCUAGAAUCUGGCAGAGGGGGGUAGAAUUCCACGUGUAGCAGUGAAAUGCGUAGAGAUGUGGAGGAACACCGAUGGCGAAGGCAGCCCCCUGGGUCAAGAUUGACGCUCAUGCACGAAAGCGUGGGGAGCAAACAGGAUUAGAUACCCUGGUAGUCCACGCCCUAAACGAUGUCUACUAGUUGUCGGGUUUUAAUUAACUUGGUAACGCAGCUAACGCGUGAAGUAGACCGCCUGGGGAGUACGGUCGCAAGAUUAA
rnacentral:rRNA from 1 species